rnacentral:rRNA from 1 species
GUGAGGAAUAUUGGUCAAUGGGCGAGAGCCUGAACCAGCCAAGUCGCGUGAAGGAUGAAGGUUUUAUGAAUUGUAAACUUCUUUUGCAGGGGAAUAAAGUACGGUACGUGUACCGUUUUGUAUGUACUCUGCGAAUAAGGAUCGGCUAACUCCGUGCCAGCAGCCGCGGUAAUACGGAGGAUCCAAGCGUUAUCCGGAUUUAUUGGGUUUAAAGGGUGCGCAGGCGGGUUGAUAAGUCAGCGGGGAAAGUUUGCAGCUUAACUGUAGAAUUGCCGUUGAAACUGUCGACCUAGAGUGCAGAUGAGGUAAGCGGAAUGUGUUGUGUAGCGGUGAAAUGCUUAGAUAUAACACAGAACACCGAUUGCGAAGGCAGCUUACUGGGAUGCAACUGACGCUCAUGCACGAAAGCGUGGGGAUCAAACAGGAUUAGAAACCCGGGUAGUCC